rnacentral:rRNA from 1 species
GCAAGUCGAGCGCAGGAAAUCGACGGAACCCUUCGGGGGGAAGUCGACGGAAUGAGCGGCGGACGGGUGAGUAACACGUAAAGAACCUGCCCUCAGGUCUGGGAUAACCACGAGAAAUCGGGGCUAAUACCGGAUGGGUCAUCGGACCGCAUGGUCCGAGGAUGAAAGGCGCUUCGGCGUCGCCUGGGGAUGGCUUUGCGGUGCAUUAGCUAGUUGGUGGGGUAAUGGCCCACCAAGGCGACGAUGCAUAGCCGACCUGAGAGGGUGAUCGGCCACACUGGGACUGAGACACGGCCCAGACUCCUACGGGAGGCAGCAGUAGGGAAUCUUCCACAAUGGACGAAAGUCUGAUGGAGCAACGCCGCGUGAACGAUGAAGGCCUUCGGGUCGUAAAGUUCUGUUGUAAGGGAAGAACAAGUGCCGCAGGCAAUGGCGGCACCUUGACGGUACCUUGCGAGAAAGCCACGGCUAACUACGUGCCAGCAGCCGCGGUAAUACGUAGGUGGCAAGCGUUGUCCGGAAUUAUUGGGCGUAAAGCGCGCGCAGGCGGCCUCUUAAGUCUGAUGUGAAAGCCCCCGGCUCAACCGGGGAGGGCCAUUGGAAACUGGGAGGCUUGAGUAUAGGAGAGAAGAGUGGAAUUCCACGUGUAGCGGUGAAAUGCGUAGAGAUGU